rnacentral:rRNA from 1 species
AUUGAACGCUGGCGGCAGGCCUAACACAUGCAAGUCGAACGAGUGGCAGACGGGUGUGUAAUGUCUGGGAAACUGCCUGAUGGAGGGGGAAAACUUCUGAAAACGGUAGCUAAUCCCGCAUACAAUCAGAUUUGCCCAGCUGGGAUUCGCUUGUUGGUUGGGUAACGGGUCACCAAGGCGACGAGCCCUAGCUGGUCUGGGAGGAUGACCGGCCACCCUGGAACUGAGACACGGGCCAGACUCCUGCUGGAGACGGCAGUGGGGAGUAUUGCACAAUGGGCGCAAGCCUGAUGCAGGCAUGCGGGGUGUAUGAUGAAGGCCGUCGGGUUGUAAAGUACUUUCAGCGGGGAGGCGUUAGCCGGAGAAGAAGCACCGGCUAACUACGUGCCAGCCGCCGCGGUAAUUC